CCCGAUCUACGCCAAUGGAAGAGCGGCUCGUCUUAAAAACGAGUGGAUUCCGGUUCGAGUCCGGGGUUCGGGA
rnacentral:tRNA from 1 species